rnacentral:rRNA from 1 species
GAUGAACGCUGGCGGCGUGCCUAAUACAUGCAAGUCGAGCGAACGGACGAGAAGCUUGCUUUUCUGAUGUUAGCGGCGGACGGGUAAGUAACACGUGGAUAACCUACCUAUAAGACUGGGAUAACUUCGGGAAACCGGAGCUAAUACCGGAUAAUAUUUUGAACCGCAUGGUUCAAAAGUGAAAGACGGUCUUGCUGUCACUUAUAGAUGGAUCCGCGCUGCAUUAGCUAGUUGGUAAGGUAACGGCUUACCAAGGCAACGAUGCAUAGCCGACCUGAGAGGGGGAUCGGCCACACUGGAACUGAGACACGGUCCAGACUCCUACGGGAGGCAGCAGUAGGGAAUCUUCCGCAAUGGGCGAAAGCCUGACGGAGCAACGCCGCGUGAGUGAUGAAGGUCUUCGGAUCGUAAAACUCUGUUAUUAGGGAAGAACAUAUGUGUAAGUAACUGUGCACAUCUUGACGGUACCUAAUCAGAAAGCCACGGCUAACUACGUG